CUGUCCUUGUGCUCCAGCGCUUGCUUCUCCAAGUAUGAAAGCAGGCGUUCUCUGUCAAAGGGGCCCGUGGCAGGCUUUGUGGUCUGGUCCUUUUGCCGAAAUCCAGCUGGAAGCAAGGCGUUCUCAGGAUCAAGGUCGUCGAGAACAUGCUCGAGCUGCUUCAGUUCAUCCUCUGAGAGUUUGCUGAGUAUUUCGUCUUCGUUGAUAUUCUUAUAUUUCUCCAGCUCCUUUCGGAAAGGCAGAGACAUGGCUCCUGCUGCACUGCUCAGCUGCUUCCCCUCCAGAUUCCAACCAUGCAGGCUAUGGAGCUUCUCGCGGUUUCACUCCCUGUUAACAAUAAAGCAUUAUGAGCAUCUCGGUUUAGCUGCUGCAGCCCUGAAGAGCCCGCAUGCUGAGAGCCACAUUUACAGUUUAUUAAGGAAAACAAAGCAGCACGAUGCUCUGGCUCAGCUGUAGGAGAGGGAUGUGCUGGGGCUGUGCAGCCCUACCCGAGGGAUGGCAAGGGACCAGAUGGCACUUGGGAGCCUCACAGGUGCAGUGGCGGAGACAGGCUAUGAGACCUAUGUAAGAAAAAAACAUCAGGAAGGUAUCCCUUCCGCAGAGAUAAAUCUCUUUUCUUUCAUUUGCUCAGAAAUAGCAGUAUCUGCUGUUCUUUUGGCCAGAGGAAUGAAAAGCAUCAGAGAUCGGCAGCCACAGAAAGCAGCCCAGCCCUGACACAGAAGAAACAAAAUGUUACGCCUUGAGAUGCAAUUUGAGAGCUAGAAUCUGCCGUAAGUGGAUGGAGUGAAAGGGAAUUAAUGCACGAUCAGACACAGCAUCAGCUGCAGAGUUUAAAUGGGAUCCAGGCCUUCCCAAGCGUGCCCAGUUCCACACCUCCGCACAAAGCCCUCUGGAUUACCUACAGCCAGCAGUGGGGUUUGGCAGCUGAGUUUUGCACGCACAGAUUUAAGUUAUGGCUGAUAUGGCAAGCAGCCAGCUGGCACUACAUGUGGCUGAUCUUUCAACCAGAACGUCCUUCGGCCAGCUCCUCCGUUGUCCUACAUCAACAGAAUCCAUGCAGGUUUGUCGCUCAUCACAUGAGCUGCAAGCUUGGGCUUUGCUUUUCUUUUAUUCAAAAUCUACAAGAAAAUGAUGCACUUACUCACAGAAUUUCUAUUAAAAUAUUAAAUACUAAAAGAGAUCUCAUUUUUCAAUUUAUCUGAAAACAGCAGUCUGUAGAAAGGGAAGAGAAUGAUUAGCAGCAUUUCAAAUUAGACAAAUCUGGAAUCAUAAGCCUUCCUCUGAAAUACUCAAACAUGAUAUUCCAGGGAAAAGCAUUAUUUCCCCCAUAGAGUCUUGUUCUUUUACUACUGUGUUUAUUAGCCCUGUUAAGUCACGAGUCUGCUUCUGGAAGUUACUCAGCAUCAGAUGGUUCACAAAGUUAGAGGAGCUGUGAAAAAUUCUUGUAUUAGCAAAAUUCCAUUGUAUGUGUUGUGGGAGCUGUGUUUGGGCAUAAAGAAAAACAAAGCAACAGUUAAUGUUUAAUAAAAGCAUUUUUGUUAACAUGAGAAGUAUAUUUUUUGAACUGUGAAAACAAAUUGAGGAGCAGUACAGCAGUGCUAAGGGAUCCUCUGGAUAAACUCAUUAAACACAUAGCAUUUCAGCUCGGCACUCAUUAAC
rnacentral:lncRNA from 1 species